rfam:Candidatus Nitrosopumilus salaria BD31 contig00001, whole genome shotgun sequence.
AAGAUGUAACGGGGCUAAGCACGUAACCGAAGCUUCGGAUGCGUACACUUCACUUUAGAUAAUUCGAUGUUAGAAGGCGCUUUUGCCGAAGGCUUAAGCGUAGCUUCAGUGCAGACUAACCGUUAGGUUAAGUCGAAGCUAAAGCGCCUGACACACUGGUAGAGAUGCUGGUGAGGUUGAGUUGUUUAAAGGAAGUGUGCGCAUGGUAGGAGAGCGUUCUGUAGGCCUGCGAAGGUGUGCUGUGAGGCAUGCUGGAGGUAUCAGAAGUGCGAAUGCUGACAUGAGUAGCGAUAAAGGGGGUGAAAAGCCCCCUCGCCGAAAGCCCAAGGUUUCCUGCGCAACGUUCAUCGGCGCAGGGUGAGUCGGCCCCUAAGGUGAGGCAGAGAUGCGUAGCUGAUGGGAAACAGGUUAAUAUUCCUGUACCUCUAUACAAUGCGAUGUGGGGACGGAGAAGGUUAGGUCAGCCGGGUGUUGGAUGUCCCGGUUCAAGCGAGUAGGUUGGUUCUUUAGGCAAAUCCGGAGAGCUAAGACCGAGACGUGAUAACGAGUCUACUUGUAGACGAAGUGAUUGAUACCAUGCUUCCAAGAAAAGCCACUAAGCUUCAGUUGUAUAAGACCGUACCGCAAACCGACACAGGUGGGCAGGAUGAGAAUUCUAAGGCGCUUGAGAGAACUCGAGAGAAGGAACUCGGCAAAAUAGCACCGUAACUUCGGGAGAAGGUGCGCCCCGGUAGUGUGAAGAGAUUUACUCUUGGAGCAUGAUGGGGUUGCAGUGAAAAGGUGGCUGCGACUGUUUAAUAAAAACAUAGCACUCUGCUAACACGAAAGUGGACGUAUAGGGUGUGACGCCUGCCCGGUGCUGGAAGAUUAAAUGAUGGGGUGCAAGCUCUUGAUUGAAGUCCCAGUAAACGGCGGCCGUAACUAUAACGGUCCUAAGGUAGCGAAAUUCCUUGUCGGGUAAGUUCCGACCCGCACGAAUGGCGUAACGAUGGCCACACUGUCUCCUCUCGGGACUCAGCGAAGUUGAAGUGGUUGUGAAGAUGCAAUCUACCCGCGGCUAGACGGAAAGACCCCAUGAACCUUUACUGUAGCUUUACAUUGGACUUUGACAGGAUUUGUGUAGGAUAGGUGGGAGACGUUGAGAUAGGGACGCUAGUUCUUAUGGAGUCGACCUUGAAAUACCACCCUGAUGUUGUUGAGGUUCUAACCUAGGUCCAUAAUCUGGAUCGGGGACCGUGUAUGGUGGGCAGUUUGACUGGGGCGGUCUCCUCCCAAAGAGUAACGGAGGAGUGCGAAGGUAACCUAGGUACGGUCGGAAAUCGUACUGAUAGUGCAAUGGCAUAAGGUUGCUUGACUGCGAGACGGACAGGUCGAGCAGGUGCGAAAGCAGGUCAUAGUGAUCCGGUGGUUCUGUAUGGAAGGGCCAUCGCUCAACGGAUAAAAGGUACUCUGGGGAUAACAGGCUGAUUCCUCCCAAGAGUUCAUAUCGACGGGGGAGUUUGGCACCUCGAUGUCGGCUCAUCACAUCCUGGGGCUGUAGCCGGUCCCAAGGGUAUGGCUGUUCGCCAUUUAAAGUGGUACGUGAGCUGGGUUUAAAACGUCGUGAGACAGUUUGGUCCCUAUCUGCCGUGGGCGCUGGAAAUUUGAAGGGACCUGCUCCUAGUACGAGAGGACCGGAGUGGACACACCUCUGGUGCACCGGUUAUCACGCCAGUGGUAUCGCCGGGUAGCUAAGUGUGGAAGAGAUAAACGCUGAAAGCAUCUAAGCGUGAAACUCGCCUUGAGAUGAGAUUUCCCUGGGGGUAUAACCCCCCUGAAGAGUCGUUCUAGACCAGGACGUUGAUAGGUCAGGUGUGGAAGCCCUGUAAGGGGUGAAGCUAACUGAUACUAAUUGCUCGUGAGGCUUGAUCCU